rnacentral:rRNA from 1 species
CGCAUCUGUGCAUGCAGCAUAUCAAUAAGCGGAGGAAAAGAAACUAACAAGGAUUCCCUUAGUAACGGCGAGUGAAGCGGGAAGAGCUCAAAUUUGAAAUCUUCGAAGGUUUUACCUUGACGAAUUGUAGUUUAAAGAAGUGUUUUCUGUUGAAGUUUUGGUAAAAGUUCUUUGGAAUAGGACAUCAUAGAGGGUGAGAAUCCCGUAUUUGACCAUUAUUUUCAGCUGUGUGAUACACUUUCAAAGAGUCGGAUUGUAUUGGGAAUGCAGUCCAAAAUGGGUGGUAAAUUUCAUCUAAAGCUAAAUAUUGGCGAGAGACCGAUAGCGAACAAGUACCGUGAGGGAAAGAUGAAAAGAACUUUGAAAAGAGAGUUAAACAGUACGUGAAAUUGUCAAAAGGGAAGCGUUUGACACCAGUGUUGUUUUCUCGAAAAUCAAUUAAAAAGAGUUAGAUUUUGUUGUGUAUUGACCUUAACAGCUUGCAUUUCAAUUUUCUUGCUUUUUUUAAUGCACUUUUCGUUUAACAAGUCAACAUCAGUUUCUUUUGUUGUAAAAAGGUCAUUGGAAGGUGGCUUUCUUUUCGGAGAAAGUGUUUAUAGCCUUUGACUCCUGCAAUCGGAGAGACUGAGGUCUGCAGCGUAGAUCCUUCGGGGUUAGAUACAUUUGUGCUAAGUUAUAGCUUUUUAUAGACAACUUGUUGACUAUGAUUAGUCUUGUAGCUUACUCGCUUAUGCUAUUUUACCUACGCUUAGGAUGUUGAUGUGAUACUGCGAGCA